rnacentral:rRNA from 1 species
AUUGAACGCUGGCGGCAUGCCUUACACAUGCAAGUCGAACGGCAGCAUGAUCUAGCUUGCUAGAUUGAUGGCGAGUGGCGAACGGGUGAGUAAUACAUCGGAACGUGCCCUGUAGUGGGGGAUAACUAGUCGAAAGAUUAGCUAAUACCGCAUACGACCUGAGGGUGAAAGUGGGGGACCGCAAGGCCUCAUGCUAUAGGAGCGGCCGAUGUCUGAUUAGCUAGUUGGUGAGGUAAAGGGUCACCAAGGCGACGAUCAGUAGCUGGUCUGAGAGGACGAUCAGCCACACUGGGACUGAGACACGGCCCAGACUCCUACGGGAGGCAGCAGUGGGGAAUUUUGGACAAUGGGGGCAACCCUGAUCCAGCAAUGCCGCGUGUGUGAAGAAGGCCUUCGGGUUGUAAAGCACUUUUGUCCGGAAAGAAAUCGCACUUACUAAUAUUAGGUGUGGAUGACGGUACCGGAAGAAUAAGGACCGGCUAACUACGUGCCAGCAGCCGCCGUAAUAC